UCGACGGGAUCCCGCGGAUGCCAAGCUGCGCAAGAGGGAUCUAGCGCUCAAGGGAGCCGAUGAGACGCGUGCGGCGGUCCAGGGGACCUAGCUAAGGCGAGGCGUCUGAGGGAAUCUGGCACUCGAGUGGCUGCCUCCAGGGUACUCUUGUUGGGUAACCUGUUCUUCUCGAUGGUGCUCCAGCAACUGCAUAAUUCAGGCUGGUGGUGAUUGAGGGUACUGUACACGAGGACAUGUGUAUGGGAACAACAAUACACCAGGCCCACCUAUAUUUCUUUUCUUUUCAUGUACGAUUCCUUUUUCCACAAAACAAUUUCUUUGCCCUGACAUACUGCCAAUCCAAUUUGUACAUACAGGUAAUGUUGUUGGCGAUGGUCAAUUGAUUUGAGCAUAUUUGGAGACUCAUGGGCGCGGCUGUACUGCCGAGUCACCACCGGAGAGAGGAUCCCAGAGGAGAUGGGCAGAUGCUCCAGAGGAUUUUGUACAAACACCAACUUCCUCUUCAUCUAGCUGAUCUUUUCUCGAAAACUUGAGUGACUGGACUUAUGCACUUGUCCCUUAGAGUCAAUGGUCACAUCCUCUUGCGUAUUCAGGCCAGCUCUUCUUUCACCCAAUAUGCCUAUUUCCAAAUAUUCACGUCCUUGGUUCUCUCCCAUCUGACCUGUGACUAAAACUAAAAUUAAUAUGUGCAACUAACAAUGGGGCAUCUCAUGAGAAUGGAGUUGAAACAAUCGAUGUACUGAUGGACAUGUUAUUUUGUUAUUGCGUAUUUGUAUAGUUUGGACCUCCAUCCUGAA